AACGCAUCUUGCGCUCCAUGGUAUUCCGUGGAGCAUGCCUGUUCGAGUGUCACGUCAACACUCACCCUUGUGAUGUUAAAAGUCAUUUGUGGUGGAUUUGGAUUGUGCCGUAGUUGGCUCAUCCUGAAAUACAUUAGCUUGCGCUUUUAGAGUGCUGGGCACCGGUGUGAUAAUUAUCUACGCCAACGUCUCAAGGCCUCUUCAGCGGCGCUGCUUAUAGCCGUCCUGACAGACAACUACAUAUUAAAGCUUUGGCCUCGAAUCAGGUAGGACUACCCGCUGAACUUAA
rnacentral:misc_RNA from 1 species